GCUUGUGCAGUGAUGAAGCAAUAUUGUGGACUAGAGUUUCUGAUAUUGGGCUCUUCUUCCCAUUUUAUUUUGACGACAAACCCUUGGCUGUCUGAGCACUAUAAUAUUCAUAAUUUUUUCGACUGAUUUUUUACUCUGUUUUAAAAUUAUGUUAAGGGCUACUGAUGAGAAAUAUAAAUAUCUUAGCGGAUUUCAGUGAGAUUUUUAAUCAAUGAUCUGAUUGUUACACACACUGAAGCUC
rnacentral:lncRNA from 1 species